rnacentral:misc_RNA from 1 species
AACCUAGCACACCUGCGGUGUGUACCUGCGGAGGGAUCACUACCUAGAGUUGUAGGCUUUGCCUGCUAUCUCUUACCCAUGUCUUUUGAGUACCUUACGUUUCCUCGGUGGGUUCGCCCACCGAUUGGACAAACUUAAACCCUUUGCAGUUGAAAUCAGCGUCUGAAAAAACUUAAUAGUUACAACUUUUAACAAUGGAUCU